UACGUAGGGUGCAAGCGUUAAUCGGAAUUACUGGGCGUAAAGCGUGCGCAGGCGGUUGUGCAAGACCGAUGUGAAAUCCCCGGGCUUAACCUGGGAAUGGCAUUGGUGACUGCACGGCUAGAGUGUGUCAGAGGGGGGUAGAAUUCCACGUGUAGCAGUGAAAUGCGUAGAGAUGCGGAGGAACACCGAUGGCCGGAAGGCAGCCCCCCUGGGCUGACACUGACGCC
rnacentral:rRNA from 1 species